UCCUGUUUUCGUUGGCCGCGUUCGGAUGGUGCCUGCUGCUGUGGCUGCUGCAGCUUGUUAGUGCUGCUCCUCGCCCGGCGUGCUGAGGGCUGUGCGGCCUCUUACUUUGUCCGGUUCUCCUGCGCGUGGUCCCGAAGGGCGCCGCUUUCCUGCGGCCUGCGGCAUGGGCCGGGAGUCACGCCACUAUCGGAAGCGAUCAGCAUCACGGGGACGCUCUGGAAGUCGAUCUAGAAGUCGCUCACCCUCAGACAAAAGAAGUAAACGUGGAGAUGACAGAAGGUCUAGAAGCAGGGAUAGAGAUAGAAGGAGAGAGAGAUCUCGUAGCAGGGAUAAAAGAAGAUCUCGGUCAAGAGACAGGAAGCGUCUGAGGCGUUCCAGAAGUAGAGAGAGAGAUCGAAGUCGAGAGCGAAGAAGAUCUCGAAGUCGAGACAGGAGACGUUCGAGGAGUAGAAGCCGCGGCCGGAGAUCCCGAUCCUCCAGUCCCGGCAAUAAAAGCAAGAAAGCUGAGAAUAGGUCUAGGUCCAAAGAGAAAACAGAUAGUGGGGAAAGUUCUAAAGAGAAGAAAAAAGACAAAGAUGACAAAGAGGAUGAAAAAGAAAAGGAUGCCGGUAACUUUGACCAGAAUAAGCUAGAAGAAGAAAUGAGAAAACGAAAAGAAAGGGUAGAGAAAUGGCGGGAAGAGCAACGUAAAAAGGCCAUGGAAAACAUAGGGGAACUGAAAAAGGAAAUUGAAGAGAUGAAACAAGGGAAAAAAUGGAGUUUAGAAGAUGAUGAUGAUGAUGAAGAUGAUCCUGCAGAGGCUGAAAAGGAAGGAAAUGAAAUGGAGGGUGAGGAGUUAGAUCCAUUAGAUGCUUACAUGGAAGAAGUGAAAGAGGAAGUAAAAAAGUUUAAUAUGAGAAGUGUGAAAGGUGGUGGGGGAAAUGAAAAGAAGUCUGGGCCAACAGUCACAAAAGUUGUCACUGUUGUCACAACCAAAAAAGCAGUCGUAGAUUCUGAUAAGAAGAAAGGUGAGCUAAUGGAGAAUGACCAGGAUGCCAUGGAGUAUUCUUCAGAGGAGGAAGAAGUUGAUCUUCAGACUGCCCUUACAGGUUAUCAGACAAAGCAGAGAAAGCUUCUAGAACCAGUGGAUCAUGGAAAAAUUGAAUAUGAACAAUUCAGAAAAAACUUUUAUGUUGAAGUUCCAGAACUGGCAAAAAUGUCUCAAGAGGAGGUGAAUGUAUUUCGGUUGGAAAUGGAGGGCAUUAUUGUCAAGGGAAAAGGUUGCCCCAAACCAAUUAAAUCUUGGGUUCAGUGUGGGAUUUCUAUGAAGAUCUUAAACUCUCUCAAAAAGCAUGGUUAUGAAAAGCCUACGCCAAUCCAAACCCAGGCGAUUCCUGCUAUAAUGUCUGGACGAGAUUUGAUUGGUAUUGCCAAGACAGGAAGUGGAAAGACCAUUGCCUUUCUGUUGCCCAUGUUUAGACACAUCAUGGAUCAGAGGUCAUUAGAAGAAGGAGAGGGGCCAAUAGCUGUCAUCAUGACUCCAACUCGAGAACUGGCUUUACAAAUUACUAAAGAAUGUAAGAAGUUUUCGAAGACCUUGGGCCUUAGAGUGGUCUGUGUUUAUGGAGGAACAGGAAUCAGUGAGCAGAUUGCUGAGCUGAAAAGAGGUGCUGAAAUUAUUGUUUGCACACCUGGUCGAAUGAUUGACAUGUUAGCAGCUAACAGUGGUCGGGUUACAAAUCUUCGAAGAGUGACUUAUGUUGUUUUAGAUGAAGCAGACAGAAUGUUUGACAUGGGUUUUGAACCACAGGUCAUGCGCAUUGUGGAUAAUGUUCGUCCUGACCGACAGACAGUUAUGUUUUCAGCUACUUUCCCCAGAGCUAUGGAGGCCUUGGCUCGCAGAAUCCUGAGUAAACCCAUUGAAGUGCAGGUUGGAGGCAGAAGUGUGGUUUGCUCAGAUGUGGAGCAACAAGUGAUUGUGAUUGAAGAAGAAAAGAAAUUCUUGAAGCUACUUGAACUUCUAGGCCAUUAUCAAGAAUCAGGAUCUGUCAUUAUAUUUGUGGAUAAGCAGGAACAUGCUGAUGGUCUUCUGAAAGAUUUAAUGAGAGCUUCUUACCCUUGCAUGUCUCUUCAUGGAGGCAUUGAUCAAUAUGACAGAGAUAGCAUCAUAAAUGAUUUUAAGAAUGGGACCUGCAAACUUCUUGUUGCUACGUCUGUUGCUGCCCGAGGCCUAGAUGUGAAACAUCUGAUUCUUGUAGUAAAUUAUAGCUGCCCCAACCAUUAUGAGGAUUAUGUGCACAGAGCAGGACGGACUGGAAGAGCAGGCAACAAAGGCUACGCCUAUACUUUCAUCACAGAAGAUCAGGCUCGGUAUGCUGGUGACAUAAUUAAAGCCCUUGAAUUGUCAGGGACUGCAGUGCCACCUGAUCUAGAGAAACUUUGGAGUGAUUUCAAAGAUCAACAGAAAGCUGAAGGGAAAAUAAUUAAAAAGAGUAGUGGGUUCUCUGGUAAGGGAUUCAAGUUUGAUGAAACAGAACAAGCUUUGGCAAAUGAGAGAAAGAAGUUACAAAAAGCUGCUCUUGGUCUUCAAGAUUCAGAUGAUGAGGAUGCUGCAGUUGAUAUUGAUGAACAAAUUGAAAGCAUGUUUAAUUCAAAGAAGAGAGUGAAGGAUAUGGCUGCUCCUGGAACAUCUAGUGUUCCUGCUCCAACUGCAGGAAAUGCUGAGAAGUUAGAAAUUGCAAAGAGAUUGGCUCUUAGAAUCAAUGCUCAGAAGAAUUUGGGCAUUGAGUCUCAGGUAGAUGUGAUGCAGCAGGCCACCAAUGCAAUUCUCAGAGGUGGCACCAUCCUGGCUCCCACUGUCUCUGCAAAAACCAUUGCAGAGCAACUUGCUGAAAAGAUCAAUGCCAAGCUUAAUUAUGUGCCUUUGGAGAAACAAGAAGAGGAGAGACAGGAUGGUGGACAGAAUGAAUCUUUUAAGAGAUACGAAGAAGAAUUAGAGAUCAAUGACUUCCCACAGACUGCUAGGUGGAAAGUUACCUCUAAGGAAGCUCUGCAGAGAAUCAGUGAAUAUUCUGAAGCUGCAAUUACAAUCAGAGGAACAUACUUCCCACCUGGCAAAGAACCCAAGGAAGGAGAGCGGAAAAUUUACUUGGCAAUUGAAAGUGCCAAUGAACUGGCUGUGCAGAAAGCAAAGGCAGAAAUCACCAGGCUUAUAAAAGAAGAACUGAUCCGGCUGCAAAAUUCAUACCAACCAACAAAUAAAGGAAGAUACAAAGUCUUAUAAAACAUCUGGAAAAAACUUUUUACCUGUGCUGGUCUGUGAUACAUGUGGCAAUUGUCUACAGUUUACAGUGUAUUUUAAGUUAAGAUUUUUGAAAUUCUGUCUUGCUGAUUUUUAUUUUUUAAAUACAAGAAACCAGUAUUUGCUAACGAAUCUUCUUUCAAUGAUGGAUGCUAAGUUCAUGUAGCAGGCGUGAAUUCUGAGUGGCUAGCCCAAUGUGGUCAAUGAGAAUACUCUUCCUCUUAGAAGUGAGUCUGGAGCUACCAGUUCUUCACAUUGUGGUUCCCACAUGCCAUGGGGCAGCUAAGCCCACGCACCACAGCUACCGAGCCCACGGGCCGCAAACUACAGAGCCUACGCGCUCUGGAGCCUGCGCGCCGCAACUAGAGAAGAGAAAACCCGCACGCCACAACAAGAGAGAAGCCUGAGCGCUGCAACGAAGAGCCUGCGUGCCGCAACUAAGACCCGACACAGCCAAAAAAAAAAAAAAAAAAGUCCACAUUAAAUCUCAUCCUGUAAAUUUUUUGAGUAGAUUUUAAAUAUGUUGUUACAUGAUAUAUCAUGUAUAAUAUUAUUACAGUUUAGAAUAACAGUUCAUGUACAUAAUUACAAAUAAAUUCACAUAUUGGGUGAUACUUGGACAACCUUAGGCAAGUUGCUUAAAUGCUUUAAAAUGUCUCACUUUUUUCAUACAUAAAAUAGAGAUAAUACCUAUCUGUUUUUGUGAGGAUAAGAUGAAAUAAUACAUGUAAAGCAUUAAAGCAUAUAAAAACUGCCUGGCAUAUGGUAAGCAUUCAAUAACUAUUAGUACUCUUAUUAUAAUGGGUGAAUGGGAGUGCAUUUUCUUAGGCUAUCUUUCAAUAUUGCUGUAUCUUUCAAUAUUGCUAUAAGCUGUAUAUCUAGCAAGGACAGUCAGUGGCUACUGAUAAACUAAAAUCUAGAAAGUGAGAUUCAUUCUUCCUAUGGAUAUCUUUCAGUUCAAAUGAAUAGCAUUUAAGAACACUUGUUGCCUUAAUUGAAAGGUCUUUAGAGGCAGCCAGUUUCCCACUCUAGUCGAAUAUUCCUGUUAUGGCCUUCCUUUCACAUGUAUACAAUCACCGCUUAUCAUGCAAAAGUCUUAUUAACUAGUGGUUUGUCUAUAUUAUCUGGCCUACUUUGGGCCAGGCUGAGGCUUUUGGAGAAGGAAUGAAAAAUGUCGAAUUGAGUCCAAAUCGUAUUUCACAGGUAUACGCUUUUGAAGAAGAUAUGUUUGGAGGUAAGUCAAAUAGUGUGACACUUAAUUAAAAGUGUGCUCUUUUUGCAAAUGAAGUGAUGAUAAAUGGAUAUGCUCUUGAAAAAGCAUAUCCAUUUAUCUACCCAUGUUAUGUGCACUAUAGCACCUCAUGAAGACCAACCUGAGAUAAUUAUCCGAAAACACCAGAUCGUUGCAUUUAACACUGUAUUUUGAUUAUGUAUUUGAGUUUUUGCCUACCGCACCAGAAUGUAAACUUCCUGAUGUUAGGGACCUUGUCUGUCCUGCAUCGCUUGUACUUUGAAUUCAAUAAAUAUGUUGAAUUAACUA